GACGAACGCUGGCGGCGUGCUUAACACAUGCAAGUCGAACGGAAAGGCCCUGCUUGCGUGUGGGGCUCGAGCGGCGAACGGGUGAGCAACACGGGAGUUACCUGCCGUAGACUCUGGGAUAACUUCAGGAAACUGGGGCUAAUACCGGAUAGGAGCCCCCGCUACAUGGUGGGGGUUGGAAAGGUUCGGCGGAUGGGGAUGGACUCGCGGCUCAUCACCUUGUGGGUGGGGUAGUGGCUUACUAAGGCUUGGACGAGUAGCCGGCCUGAGAGGGUGACCGGCCACAUUGGGACUCGGGUACGGCCCAGACUGCUACGGGAGGCAGCAGUGAGGGAUAUUGCACGAUGGGCGGAGGCCUGGUGGAGCACCGCCGGGUGCGGGAUCACUGCCUUCGGGUUGUAGAGCGCUUUCGCGUGUGACGAAGCGUGAGGACGGGUAAUGGGUAGAGAAGCACCGGCUACCUACGUG
rnacentral:rRNA from 1 species